AUAUGACAUAUUACACAAGUAGUUUACAUCUGACGAGCAUAUGUCAGAUGUAAAACGCUAUAUAGAGUAACGUUUACAUCUGGUACUAAUAUCCACUGAAGGGAAAAAUAUAUAGACAUAACUUGUUACAUCUGGUUCUAAUAUCACCAGAAACAAAACUGAAUGCGGUGGCAAUAUUGUAAUUAUGGCGAAAACACAGUACACCAAAUAAGUGACUAACUGAGAAAACACAGUGCACCAGUCUCGCGAACUUCAAGCGCUCGAGAACAAAAAGGAAGGUCACGCGAUUUUAGCAAAACCUCAAGAACAACAAACCCUCAAUCCCUCUCUCGAUUCGAAACUCUCUCAAUCAGGACAAUCCCUCACUCUCACUCGUCCUCUCUCACUCGUUCUGUCAAUUUCGUCAUCUCUCUCGGUGGUUCUCGAACCCUAGGUCCCAAAUCGAAGUUCAGUGAAACAAAUUGAAGCUUCUCUCAGAUCGUUCCUCUCACUACAACUAAAAACACAAACAGGCUGCUGCUACAAGAUCUUUAGCAAGGGGUACCAAUUUUGAUUCAGUUAUUUCUAUGUUGAAGGAGGAUAUUUUGUGUAGUUAAAACUAUUAUUCUAGGAGGAGUUCAAAAACCUUAUUGCUUUGUGAAACGUAUCUUCCCUCGGAUUCAUGAUUCAUGGACUGGUUAUCAUUCUCAAUGAUAUAUUUGGCAGGUUAUUCCACAAUUGUCUACCCCGAUUAAGGUGGAGCCUAAUGAAGGUUCAGCUUCAAUUGCCACGUCCAGCGAAUCCGUGGUUGAUGCUCUCAAAGUUAAGGAAUGGGAAGUAGGAAUGUUUCAUAAUGAGGUUGCUGCUACGCAAGGUAUAAGAAUAAGGAGAAGACCACCAACUGGACCACCUAUUCAUUACGUAGGACCUUUUGAAUUCCGGUUGGAGAAUGAAGGCAAUACGCCUCGUAAUAUCUUGGAAGAGAUUAUAUGGAACAAGGACAUAGAAGUCAGACAUGUAUUAUACUUGUAAAAUUUGUAAAAUUCAAACAACCCAAUUCAUUGUGCCAUACAAUCUCCUUGCCCCUGCCAGUUACUAUACAAAAGAUAAAUAAAAUCUUCUCUUUUUUCCCAAAUCAAAACAGGCAUAACUUCCUCCAAAUUUCAACCGGUUAGUAAGCAACGGUGAAAAAUAAGCAUGCGGGUACUAGAAUAUCCGGAUUUCGCCAAAAAAAACUCCUCGGGUAAAAAAAUUUAAUGAGAUCACAUGGAUCCCGAGAAAAAAUUGGGUCUUUGUGAAGAUGCAAUGCAGGGACUAUAAUAAAAUUAAGAAAGAAGGCCAGUGUUUAUAUAGCCUUGAUAGAGAGAUUGGAAAUUUACUGAAUAUAUGGUUUAUUUAUGUCAAACUUGAUGUAAAAAUGACCGGAAAUAAAAUCCAUUGUGGCUGCAUCUUUCUUUCGGUGUUCGAUGAUCCCACGUCAUUAACCGAGGAGGAGAUGUAUGAAUUGCGAAACAACUGGGCUACUUGUUUUCUUGACCUGUACAAUCCCGAGGUAGAUUAUGUUGUUUCCGAUGAUGAGGUUUAGGAGCUAGCUAGUUACAAUGGAUUCACAUUAACUAGGAUGUUUUGAAUUGUAAUGACUUGUAUUUUGCUUGAAUGUUAUAACAUUUUGGAUUGUUUUGGUAUUUUGCUUGACUUGUAAGACUUGGUAUUUUAUUUGAAUUGUAAUGACUUUGG